rnacentral:tRNA from 1 species
GCGGAAGUGGUGAAAUUGGUAGACACACCAUCUUGAGGGGGUGGCGACGCAAGUCAUGAGGGUUCAAGUCCCUCCUUCCGCA